rnacentral:lncRNA from 11 species
UCGGCACGAUAUUGCGGUCUGCGAAAAGAGCAACGUCGGAGAUUACUCUCGAAUCACAAGAAGCUCACACGAAAGAAGCUAUGCUUGGCAAAUAAGGAUAUAGGUUGGUAAGAUUAACUUUCAAUAUGAGUUCCUGACCUUCAUAAAGUAGCAGCUGAACUACGCGAGAAGCAACCCAGCCUUCCAGCAUUAAAAGAGGUAGAUGGUGCGAUUAAUGCGACUAGGGCCAGCAUGUGGAACCGGGUGCCUACAAGAGUGAUGGGGCGUUCGACACUCU